rnacentral:rRNA from 1 species
AACGUAGGACACGAGCGUUAUCCGGAGUUACUGGGCGUAAAGAGCGCGCAGGCGGUCGUGCAAGUCGCGUGUGAAAGCCCCCGGCUCAACUGGGGAGGGUCACGCGAUACUGCUCGACUCGAAGGCAGGAGAGGGAAGUGGAAUUCCCGGUGUAGUGGUGAAAUGCGUAGAUAUCGGGAGGAACACCAGCGGCGAAGGCGGCCAUCUGGACAGAUAUUGACGCUGAGGUGCGAAAGCGUGGGGAGCAAACAGG